rnacentral:rRNA from 1 species
GCGUGUGUGAAGAAGGCCUGCGGGUUGUAAAGCACUUUCAGUGGGGAAGAAAAGCCUGAGGCGAAUACCCUUAGGUGUUGACGUUACCCACAGAAGAAGCACCGGCUAACUCCGUGCCAGCAGCCGCGGUAAUACGGAGGGUGCAAGCGUUAAUCGGAAUCACUGGGCGUAAAGCGCACGUAGGCGGCGAGUUAAGUCAGAUGUGAAAGCCCUGGGCUCAACCUGGGAAUGGCAUUUGAUACUGGCUGGCUAGAGUCUGAUAGAGGGGGGUGGAAUUCCAGGUGUAGCGGUGAAAUGCGU